rnacentral:rRNA from 1 species
GGCUUAACCCGGAGAGNCCGUUCAAUACUGCAUAACUUGAGGGUGUCAGAGGGGANCGGAAUUCCCGGUGUACCGGUAAAAUGCGCAGAGAUCGGGAGGAACACCAGUGNCGGAGGCGGUUCCCUGGGGCACACCUGACGCUGAGAGACGAAAGCUAGGGGAGCGAACAGGAUUAGAGACCCUGGUAGUCCUAGCCCUAAACGAUGAAUGCUAGGUGUGGGAUCGAAUGGUUCCGUGCCGGAGCGAACGCGAUAAGCAUUCCGCCUGGGGAGUACGGCCGCAAGGUUAAAACUCAAACGAAUUGACGGGGCCCCGCACAAGCAGCGGAGCGUGUGGUUUAAUUCGAUGCUACACGAAGAACCUUACCUGGGUUUGACAUGUAGGUGGUAGUGAAUCGAAAGGUGAACGACCCUUCGGGGAGCCUACACAGGUGCUGCAUGGCUGUCGUCAGCUCGUGCCGUGAGGUGUCGGGUUAAGUCCCGUAACGAGCGCAACCCUUGCUCCUAGUUACAAGUGUCUAGGGGGACUGCCGGCGGAAAGCCGGAGGAAGGUGGGGAUGACGUCAAGUCAGCAUGGCCCUUAUAUCCAGGGCUACACACACGCUACAAUGGUCGGUACAAAGGGCAGCGAAACCGCGAGGCGGAGCGAAUCCGAGAAAAGCCGAUCGUAGUUCGGAUAGCAGGCUGCAACCCGCCUGCUUGAAGCUGGAGUUGCUAGUAACCGCGCGUCAGCCAUAGCGCGGUGAAUACGUUCCCGGGGCUUGUACACACCGCCCGUCACGUCAUGGGAGUCGGUAACGCCUGAAGCCGGUAGUCUAACUGGAAACAGGAGACGCUGUCGAGGGCGGGACUGGCAACUGGGACGAAGUC